UACGUAGGGUGCGAGCGUUGCCCGGAUUUAUUGGGCGUAAAGCGCGCGUAGGCGGCCCUGUAAGUCCGUUGUGAAAGUCAAAGGCUCAACCUUUGAAAGCCGAUGGAUACUGCAGGGCUAGAGUCCGGAAGAGGCGAGUGGAAUUCCUGGUGUAGCGGUGGAAUGCGCAGAUAUUAGGAGGAACACCAAUAGCGAAGGCAGCUCGCUGGGACGGUACUGACGCUAAGGCGCGAAAGCCAGGGGAGCGAACGGG
rnacentral:rRNA from 1 species